AGAGUUUGAUCAUGGCUCAGAUUGAACGCUGGCGGAAUGCCUAACACAUGCAAGUCGAGCGGGGUAGCAAUAUCCAGCGGCGGACGGGUGAGGAAUACAUAGGAAUCUGCCUUUAGGUGGGGGAUAGCUUGGGGAAACUCAAGGUAAUACCGCAUGAUCUCGCAAGAGCAAAGUGGGGGACCGCAAGGCCUCACGCCUUUAGAGGAGCCUAUGUCUGAUUAGCUAGUUGGUGAGGUAAUGGCUCACCAAGGCGACGAUCAGUAACUGGUCUGAGAGGACGAUCAGUCACACCGGAACUGAGACACGGUCCGGACUCCUACGGGAGGCAGCAGUGGGGAAUAUUGGACAAUGGGCGAAAGCCUGAUCCAGCAAUUCCGCGUGUGUGAAGAAGGCCUUCGGGUUGUAAAGCACUUUAGGUUGGGAAGAAAAAGCUCUGACUAAUAUUCGGAGUGUUGACGGUACCAACAGAAUAAGCACCGGCUAACUCUGUGCCAGCAGCCGCGGUAAUACAGAGGGUGCAAGCGUUAAUCGGAUUUACUGGGCGCAAAGCGUGCGUAGGUGGUUUCGUAAGUCGGAUGUGAAAGCCCCGGGCUCAACCUGGGAACUGCAUUCGAUACUGCGAGACUCGAGUUUGGUAGAGGGUGGCGGAAUUCCCGGUGUAGCGGUGAAAUGCGUAGAUAUCGGGAGGAACAUCAAUGGCGAAGGCAGCCACCUGGGCCUGGACUGACACUGAGGCACGAAAGCGUGGGUAGCAAACAGGAUUAGAUACCCUGGUAGUCC
rnacentral:rRNA from 1 species